AACGCACAUUGCGCCCCUUGGUAUUCCAUGGGGCAUGCCUGUUCGAGCGUCAUUUACACCCUCAAGCACUGCUUGGUGUUGGGCGUCUGUCCCGCCUUCGCGCGUGGACUCGCCCCAAAGACAUUGGCAGCGGUCUCUGGCACCUCAACGCGCAGUACAUUGCGUUUAUUGGGGCGCCUCUGGUCGCAUCCACAAAGCUAUCACCGUCUUUGACCUCGGAUCAGGUAGGGAUACCCGCUGAACUUAA
rnacentral:misc_RNA from 1 species